rnacentral:rRNA from 1 species
GAGGAAUGUAUAGCAAUAGCUACUUGCAUCAUUGUAGAUAUGAUGCAAGAUCGACUAUGUUGAAUAAAAUUCUAGGUAGAAUUAUGAUAAUGACAUUGUCUGCCUAUGUGUCUUGACCAAAUUACGUGCCAGCAGUCGCGGUAAUACGUAGAAGACUAGUGUUAUUCAUGUUUAAUCGGUUUAAAGGGUACCUAGACGGUAGAUCAAGCUUUCUAAUAAGUGAAAAGGACUAAUUUACUAGAGUUACUUAUGAGGGGGUAUUAAAGUACUGCUGGUGUAGAGAUGAAAUUCUGUCAUACCUCUUUUCAAAAGAAAAACCAUGGCACAGGUAUAGGCGAAGGCAUCCCCUUAUGUGAUAACUGACGUUGAGGGACGAAGGCUUUGUGUAGCGAACAGGAUUAGAUACCCUAGUAGUCGAAGCAGAAAAUGAUGAAUGUCAUAGAUUAGAUGUAUAAGUUUAUUCUAUAAAUGAAAGUGUAAGCAUUCCACCUCAUGAGUAAUUUGGCAACAUUGGAACUGAAAUCAUUAGACCGUUUCUGAAACCAGUAGUGAAGUAUGUUGUUUAAUUUGAUGAUCCGCAAAAAACCUUACCACAAUUUGAAUAUUUAUAUUUUUUUUAUUGUUUUCUUCUGAUUUUCUUCCUUUUUCCUUCCUUUUCUUAUUGAUUUUCUUCUUCUUUAGAAGAAGAAAAAGAAAAUAAGAAAAGGAAAAAAGAAGAACGAGAUAAUACUGAUAUAGAUCAAAAAAGGAAGAAAAUUAAGCAAGAGGCAAUAAGAUAUAUUUACAAGCGUUGCACGGCUGUCUUCAGUUAAUGUCGCGAGACUUUGGUUAGUUCCAUUAAAUUAACGUAAACCCUUACUUUAUUUUUAUAUAGAGUAGUUCCCCGCUAUAUUGGAUAUGAU